ACAAAUAGACAGUUAUUGCCCUCGCUGCUCCCGGCCAUCUGCUGAAGGUGCAACUCUGGUUUCUGACUGGUCUGAGUGAGGACUGCUCACUUAGCCAGCAGGGUUAUGGAGAACCAAAGGGACCAGCAAGGGACAGCGGCCAUUCUCCUUACUUCUGGAAAGAACAACGCAGUUUUGUUUGGGUGAUCUAUGCUCCCUCAUUGGAUAUCAUCUUGGUAGUAUCCUUAAACAGAGUGUUUUGCCCUCCUCUGGCCAAGAGGUUUUCUGCCCUCUUUUCUGGAAGGUGCACGAUGCUCGGCUCUGUGGUUAUUUUCGCCUAACAGCUGUGUUUCCGGUGAGCAGCUGGGGGAUGCUUCUGACUCAGCAAAACGGGAGCAGUAACCGCCAAGAAGCCGUUCAAGCGAGGCUCGAAAUAAAGCAGCAGUUUCUUCCCCGUCCCUACUCCUUUCACUUCCCCACCCGUGGGCACCUUCUGAGAGUCUCACAAAGCGCUUGUCAGAAACCCUUUGGAGCAGCAGGCGAAGGCCUGGCCGAAGGUGGCCCUCAGAUCGGAAAACGGAGACAUCAUGGAAAGCAUGGGGCCAAAGCAGCCCGGCUUUGUGUCUGGGACGCCCCGCCCCGGUGGCCCCCGCCGCUCCCCUGCUCCCCACUCGGGCUGGGGCCUUCCAACUUUCCCACUAGGCUCAGCAGCGAAAGCGGAGGCGGGCGGGCGGGUGUGGCUGCGAGUGGCCUCCCCCAGGCCCGGGGCUCUGUGAUCUGCUGCUCAGUCGGUUUCUCCAAGGGGAUGAUCUCACCCCCGGGGCGGGGGGGGGGGGUCUGGGAGGCAGCUCCAGACUUUCCUACGCGCGGACACCCGAGGCCAACCCCACGCUGCCCGUCCUGCCCGCCGCACGCGGGGAGGGCAGGAGCCGGCAGGGAAUCCGCGGCCCCGAGAGCCCGGCUCUGUGCAAGCCGGUGCCUGCAGAAGGCUCACGGGAGAGCGAGACAGCUGCACCCCGAGCGUCGCUGCCGCUGUUCCGGGAAAGAAGGGAACAAGUAAAUUUAGCUCCGUCCUACGCAUCCUCCGCAGCUGCUUACUGACCCAACAGAAAGAGGCCUCUGUGUCAACCCCGGCUUCUCAGCUUUUUGGCCUGGGGAGGUCUGCCACCUCGGCCUGGGCAGGGGACUUUUCCAGGAGGUCCCUGGAGCGCGCAGGAAGGCACGGGGCCCAAGGAGCUCGAGCGCCAGGCCUGAGCUGCUCUUCUGCCAUCUUGGCUCAAAACGGCCCCGGACACGCUUCCACGGCGGCCUUGGCUCCUGGAGCCUCUGCCGUGUGCCUUGGGAGCCAGAGCCUG